CGGCGCGGUGAUGGCACUUUAAAGGCAACUGUUCCCAAUGGAACACCGAAGUUAGGCACCGUUGCGCGUGGUUAGUAUUCGAAUGGGCGACAAUAUGGACAGUUGCGUACUAACUGCUGC
rnacentral:rRNA from 1 species